GCCGGGGUGGCGAAACGGUAGACGCAGGGGACUUAAAAUCCCCUGGGAGCAAUCCCGUCUGGGUUCGAGUCCCAGCCCCGGCA
rnacentral:tRNA from 1 species